rnacentral:rRNA from 1 species
GUAGGGAAUAUUGGGCAAUGGGAGCAAUCCUGACCCAGCCAUGCCGCGUGCAGGAUGAAGGCUUUCUGAGUCGUAAACUGCUUUUGCCAGGGAAGAAUAAGGGGCAUGCGUGCUCCGACGACGGUACCUGGUGAAUAAGCACCGGCUAACUCCGUGCCAGCAGCCGCGGUAAUACGGAGGGUGCAAGCGUUGUCCGGAUUUAUUGGGUUUAAAGGGUGCGUAGGCGGCUGUUUAAGUCUGGGGUGAAAGCCCGUUGCUCAACAACGGAACUGCCCUGGAAACUGGAUAGCUUGAGUACAGACGAGGUUGGCGGAAUGGAUGCUGUAGCGGUGAAAUGCAUAGAUAGCAUCCAGAACCCCGAUUGCGAAGGCAGCUGACUAGGCUGUAACUGACGCUGAGGCACGAAAGCGUGGGGAGCGAACAGGAUUAGAAACCCUAGUAGUCC